rnacentral:ncRNA from 2 species
GAUCUAGUCUCAUGGCAUGGUUCCGCCCGACUCGAAGGAAAGGCGGAUUAAAAGGGAACACGGUGAGGUGUAGCCAAGAGGCGCCGAACCCGUGACUGCCCCCGCAACUGUGAGCGGCGAGCUUCCUCAAGAGAUGCCACUGGCGCGAUGACCGCCGGGAAGGUUUGAGAGAGCAAGGACCCGCAAGUCAGGAGACCUGCCAUGACCAUCGUAACUCA